AACGUAGGGAGCAAGCGUUGUCCGGAAUUACUGGGUGUAAAGGGAGCGUAGGCGGGGGUGCAAGUUGAAUGUGAAAUGUACAGGCUCAACCUGUAAAUUGCGUUCAAAACUGCGCGUCUUGAGUGAAGUAGAGGCAGGCGGAAUUCCUAGUGUAGCGGUGAAAUGCGUAGAUAUUAGGAGGAACACCAGUGGCGAAGGCGGUCUGCUGGGCUUUAACUGACGCUGAGGCUCGAAAGCGUGGGUAGCAA
rnacentral:rRNA from 1 species